GAGUCGGUGCGUCAAUAAGACCAACCCUUUUAUGACGCCUCGAACCCAAUCUCUCGCUCCUCAUCGCUUUGGUGGCGCGUCGUCCCCAAAUAGCCGAGUCUGAGCGAUCCAAAACCCUAGCGGCGACAGAUCCCUCCCGAUGGAUCACGUGGACGCCGAGAUAGCGAAGACCCAGGAGGAGCGGCGAAAGAUGGAGGAGGUGGCCAUGCUCACUUCCGUAACCUUCGACGCCGACCUCUAUGGCGGCGGCCCCGACCGCUUUGAGGGCUACGAGCGUUCCAUCCCCGUCACUGACGAGGAGGAGGAGGCGGACGGUGAAAGACGCGACAUCGCCCGACGGAUGGCCUCCUACACCGGCCCCAAGUCCCUCAACGAGCUCCCCAGGGGGUCCGAGGGCGAGGACGACUCGGGGUUCAAGAAGCCGCAGCGGAUCAUCGAUCGGGAGGACGAUUACCGGCGCCGGAGACUCCAGCGGAUCAUAUCGCCCGAGAGGAACGAUCCCUUUGCCACUGGGGAGGCCACCCCGGACCCCACGGUGAGGACGUACGCGGAUGUGAUGAGGGAACAGGCCUUGCAGCGGCAGAAAGAGGAGAUCUUGAAGGAGAUAGCCAAGAAGAAAGAGGAGGAGAAGAGCAAGGCUGCCGCCGAGCCGGCCCCCGCCGCCCAGAAAAGGAGGAACAGGUGGGACCAGUCGCAGGAGCCUGAUGGCGGUGCUACCAAGAAGGCGAAGACGAGCUCGGUGGCAUCUGACUGGGAUGCACCGGAUUCUACACCUGGGAUUGGGCGGUGGGAUGCAACACCGACUCCUGGGAGGGUUGCAGAUGCCACUCCUUCUGUCUCUCGGAGAAACAGAUGGGACGAGACUCCAACUCCUGGGAGACUCGUGGAUGCUGAUGCUACCCCCGCUGCUGGUGGUGCCACCCCUGGUGCUACACCGGCCGGCAUGACAUGGGAUGCUACUCCCAAGCUUGCUGGUCUUGCAACGCCAACGCCGAAGCGCCAGAGGUCAAGGUGGGAUGAGACUCCGGCAACCAUGGGUAGUGCCACUCCAUUGCCUGGUGCUGCGACUCCUGCUGCUUCAUUCACUCCUGGUGUCACUCCGGUUGGUGGUGUUGAUCUUGCGACACCGACUCCAGGAGCAAUUAAUCUUCGUGGUGCCAUGACCCCAGAACAGUAUAAUCUGCUGAGAUGGGAGAGGGAUAUCGAGGAGAGGAACCGUCCAUUGACCGAUGAAGAGCUCGAUGCAAUGUUCCCACAGGAAGGGUACAAGAUACUGGAUCCUCCUGCAUCCUACGUUCCCAUCAGGACUCCUGCAAGGAAGCUUUUGGCAACGCCUACUCCGUUGGGCACUCCCCUUUAUGCCAUACCUGAGGAAAAUCGUGGACAGCAGUUUGAUGUCCCAAAGGAGGCACCUGGUGGGUUGCCAUUCAUGAAACAAGAGGAUUACCAAUACUUUGGGGCUCUACUGAAUGAAGAGGAGGAGGAGCAGCUGUCUCCUGAAGAACAGAAAGAGAGGAAGAUCAUGAAGCUGCUGCUGAAGGUGAAAAAUGGUACACCACCACAGAGGAAGACUGCUUUGCGCCAACUCACUGACAAAGCUAGAGAGUUUGGUGCUGGCCCAUUGUUCAACAAGAUUCUGCCUUUGCUCAUGCAGCCGACUCUUGAAGACCAGGAGCGACACCUUCUAGUUAAAGUUAUUGACAGGGUUCUGUAUAAGUUGGAUGAGCUGGUCCGGCCUUUUGUUCAUAAGAUCCUUGUGGUUAUAGAGCCUCUUCUUAUUGAUGAGGAUUAUUAUGCUCGUGUUGAAGGGAGAGAAAUCAUCUCAAAUCUUAGUAAAGCAGCUGGUCUUGCAACUAUGAUAGCUGCCAUGAGACCAGAUAUCGAUAACAUUGAUGAGUAUGUGAGGAAUACGACAGCUAGAGCUUUUAGUGUGGUGGCUUCUGCUUUGGGUAUUCCUGCUUUGUUGCCGUUUCUGAAGGCUGUUUGUCAGAGUAAGAAAUCUUGGCAAGCUCGGCACACUGGUAUUAAGAUUGUUCAGCAGAUUGCUAUUCUAAUGGGAUGUGCCGUGCUCCCACAUCUUAGGUCCCUGGUCGAAAUUAUAGAGCAUGGUCUCAGUGAUGAGAAUCAGAAGGUGAGAACUAUUACUGCAUUGUCUCUUGCUGCACUUGCAGAAGCAGCUGCUCCAUAUGGGAUAGAAAGCUUUGAUUCAGUGUUGAAGCCUCUUUGGAAGGGUAUCAGGUCUCAUCGUGGGAAGGUUCUUGCUGCCUUUUUGAAGGCAAUUGGUUUUAUUAUUCCUUUGAUGGAUGCUGUUUAUGCAAGUUAUUAUACGAAAGAAGUCAUGAUUAUCCUCAUUCGUGAGUUUCAGUCACCUGAUGAAGAAAUGAAGAAAAUUGUGCUGAAAGUUGUCAAGCAGUGUGUAAGUACAGAGGGUGUAGAGGCUGACUACAUCCGGAAUGAUAUUCUUCCUGAGUUCUUCAGGAAUUUCUGGGUUAGAAGGAUGGCAUUGGACCGCAGGAACUACAAACAGCUUGUGGACACGACCGUGGAGAUUGCAAAUAAGGUUGGAGUGGCGGAUAUUGUAGGAAGAAUUGUGGAAGAUCUUAAAGAUGAGAGUGAGCCUUACAGGCGUAUGGUGAUGGAGACAAUUGAGAAGGUGGUGGCCAACUUGGGGGCAUCUGAUAUUGAUGCUAGAUUGGAAGAGCUUCUUAUUGAUGGAAUUCUGUAUGCCUUCCAGGAGCAGACGAGUGAUGAUGCCAAUGUUAUGCUUAAUGGAUUUGGGGCUGUGGUGAAUGCAUUAGGACAGAGGGUUAAGCCGUAUCUUCCCCAGAUUUGUGGUACCAUAAAGUGGCGUUUGAACAAUAAGAGUGCCAAAGUUAGGCAACAAGCUGCAGAUCUAAUAGCACGGAUCGCCAUCGUCAUGAAGCAGUGCAAGGAGGAGCAGCUGAUGGGUCACUUGGGUGUUGUUCUGUACGAGUAUUUGGGAGAAGAAUAUCCUGAAGUCUUAGGUUCUAUUCUGGGAGCACUUAAAGCUAUAGUGAAUGUCAUUGGUAUGACCAAAAUGACACCUCCUAUUAAGGAUCUUCUACCCCGAUUGACCCCAAUCUUAAAGAACAGACAUGAGAAGGUGCAGGAGAACUGUAUUGACCUUGUUGGUAGAAUUGCUGAUCGUGGAGCUGAGUUUGUGCCAGCUAGGGAGUGGAUGAGGAUUUGUUUUGAGCUUCUUGAGAUGUUGAAGGCUCAUAAGAAGGGGAUCAGAAGAGCUACUGUCAACACUUUUGGUUAUAUUGCUAAAGCAAUUGGGCCACAAGAUGUCCUUGCGACUCUUUUGAACAAUUUGAAAGUACAAGAACGUCAAAACCGUGUGUGCACUACUGUUGCUAUCGCUAUAGUUGCCGAAACUUGCUCCCCGUUUACAGUUUUGCCAGCUCUAAUGAAUGAGUAUCGUGUACCUGAGCUGAAUGUGCAGAAUGGAGUUCUGAAAUCUCUUUCUUUCCUCUUUGAGUACAUAGGUGAGAUGGGGAAGGAUUAUAUAUAUGCUGUUACUCCACUGCUGGAGGAUGCUUUAAUGGACAGGGAUUUGGUUCAUCGUCAGACUGCUGCUUCUGCUGUUAAGCAUAUGGCCUUGGGAGUUGCUGGGUUAGGUUGUGAGGAUGCUUUAGUGCAUUUACUCAAUUAUGUCUGGCCCAACAUCUUUGAGACUUCUCCCCAUGUUAUUAAUGCUGUGAUGGAAGCCGUUGAAGGGAUGAGGGUUGCCCUGGGUGCAGCUGUAAUUCUAAAUUACUGCCUUCAGGGUCUGUUUCAUCCUGCUAGGAAAGUUAGGGAGGUAUAUUGGAAGAUCUACAAUUCGCUUUACAUUGGAUCCCAGGAUGCACUAGUAGCUGCUUAUCCCACACUAGAAGAUGAAGCGAACAGUGUCUACAGCCGGCCAGAACUUGUGAUGUUUAUCUGAGGCUGCACGUUCACACUUUGAUGCUUGUGCUACAACCUAUAGAAAGAGCACUUGUUGUUGUCAAACUUUACUUUUGGUUAAGAGAUCAUCAAUGCUGAACUUAUUUCUCAGCCCCAGGUGUUUCAAAAGAUAGCCCCAUCGAGGAGGAUCGAUAGAUAGAUAGCUCAUGACGACAUGGGAAAGAUGCUGGUUUCAAGAUUCCUAGUGCCAGUUCCGAACGAAUUGUCACCAAGUAAAUUUGUUUUGUUGGUCAUGCUACUAUGCAGAUGUAUUAUUAUAAUACUUUUGCUAAUUAGUCAUUUGGUUUGGCUGUUAAGGGGCUUUGACUAUAAAACUAAAAUGUACUGCUAUGUCCAUGGCGCAGACUUUGUCAUAGGUGCAAAUUAAUAUCAGAGACUAUUCCAACAAUAAUAAUGUAUAGUAAUUGCAUUGUCUAGCUCAA